rnacentral:rRNA from 1 species
CCUACGGGGGGCAGCAGUGAGGAAUAUUGGUCAAUGGACGAGAGUCUGAACCAGCCAAGUCGCGUGAAGGAUGAAUGCCCUAUGGGUUGUAAACUUCUUUUAUAUGGGAAUAAAAUGUUCCACGUGUGGGCUUUUGUAUGUACCCUAUGAAUAAGGAACGGCUAACCCCGUGCCAGCCGCCGCGGUAAUACGGGGGAUCCGAGCGUUAUUCGGAUUUAGUGGGUUUAAAGGGAGCGUAGGUGGAUUGUUAAGUCAGUGGUGAAGGUUUGCGGCUCAACCGUAAAAUUGCCGUUGAAACUGGCAGUCUUGAGUGCAGUAGAGGUGUGCGGAAUGCGUGGUGUAGCGGUGAAAUGCAUAGAUAUCACGAAGAACUCCGAUUGCGAAGGCAGCUCACUGGACUGCAACUGACACUGAGGCUCGAAAGUGUGGGUAUCAAACAGGAUUAGAUACCCUUGUAGUC